CAGUGAGGGUUCGGUCGCAGCUGUGGGACGUGGAACGUAGCGUUACCGGCGCCUGGCGGGUCCAGCAGUCCUCACGAACUUUCUUUCUUAGUCCCAAGCGAAACGAAACGCUGCGGUGUCGCCUUCUCGUCGGUUUUACUAUGACCAAACGGACUUUCCAGAGCGUUCGUGGUGCUUGAGGACUCGCCCUGACGACGGCGUCGCGUGCGCAAACGACGGAGCCAGAAAGAGCAGAAGAGGGAAAUAAGGGAAAAGAUGCUGUUCCUGAAGUCAUUCUGAGACCUGUUCUUUUGACACGAUGUGGUGCAGCUGGGUAGAAGAGCCUGUGAUAAAGAGCCAUUGCAGUAUGAAAAGAUGUCUCCGCUGCUAUACUUCGGCAAGGGUGGUACAACUAAUUCCUAUAGGACAUCAAACCUGGAGCUGAAGAGAAACAGGUAAACUCCAACUCACAGAGAAACAGUAAACACCUCUGCACAGUGAACCAGGUGAACUGCUGCUUUCCUUUAGCAGCUUCAUGACGAGAGUGUAUUUCAUCUUUUCACACUUAUCUCUUGUAAUGCGGAAUUGUUUUGUUAACAUACUGUUCUUAGUGCUGGGCGAUGCAUCAUUUAUACUGUCAUGAAUUCAUUACAUAUCGGAAAAUCAAAUUUGAAACAGUAUAUCAAAAUUUUAAAUUGUAUCACCACUAUGCCCCCAUGGCUUCUUCGAGUGCUUCUCAUUUAUCAUUUCUUUUAUGGAAACCACUGUCAGUGAUCAGUACUAGGCAUCUACUACUCUCAUUCUAUUAAAGUAGGCAGGAAGGGGAGGGACUAAUGCAUGCAACCAAAUUUCAGUAACAAGGCUUUGUAUAAAUCAGUUACGUUGCAGGCUUUGAAGUUAUAUUUGAGAGCUUUUAUUUAUCAAAGCCAAAUCAAUCUGUGUAGUACAUAAGUAGACCUUUGUGGAAUCAAGACACUUUUAGCACACAAUAUAUAUCAAAAUCAAAUUGAAAAUGGUAUUGAACCUUUUAUACCCCUAGUAAGUAUGUGUGAAAGAUGUGCACACACUGCAAACAUUAGCAUAUGUACAUAUUCAGGUACUCAUUAUUCUUGCUGUAUUGUAAAAUAUAUCGUAGUGGGACACUACCGUAUUGUAAGGAUUUUUUUGUCGUUACACGUCCACACCAGCAUUAGUAUCAAAUAACAAUAGUGAUUUUUAGUUUUUGUGCUAUUGAUACAUGACAAAACAUUAACAGCAGCGUAUGCCAUUUGUUGGAUGCGCCAGAUUGUUUUGA